rnacentral:lncRNA from 1 species
UAGGUGGAAAUCCUAGAGAGAGAAAAGAGAGGGAAGAUUGAUCGUAAAUUCUCUUAGAUUAAAUUAGAUUGUAUGAUACAGAAGAGAAAUGGGGACGUAUUUAUAGAAUAACGGAAUCCUCUAAAAUAUCCUGAAUCUUACAUAGGAAUUAAGAUUAGGAUAUCCAUAAUAGAUAUUCAUUAGGAAAUGCGUUUCUUAACUAAUAAGAAACAUAUAAUCCAUCCUUAUGCUUAACUUAUUAGGAUAACCUUAAUCCACAUUU